UGAGGAAUAUUGGUCAAUGGGCGAGAGCCUGAACCAGCCAAGUAGCGUGCAGGAUGACGGCCCUAUGGGUUGUAAACUGCUUUUGUAUGGGGAUAAAGUCAAUCACGUGUGAUUGUUUGCAGGUACCAUACGAAUAAGGACCGGCUAAUUCCGUGCCAGCAGCCGCGGUAAUACGGAAGGUCCAGGCGUUAUCCGGAUUUAUUGGGUUUAAAGGGAGCGUAGGCUGGAGAUUAAGUGUGUUGUGAAAUGUAGACGCUCAACGUCUGAAUUGCAGCGCAUACUGGUUUCCUUGAGUACGCACAACGUUGGCGGAAUUCGUCGUGUAGCGGUGAAAUGCUUAGAUAUGACGAAGAACUCCGAUUGCGAAGGCAGCUGACGGGAGCGCAACUGACGCUUAAGCUCGAAGGUGCGGGUAUCAAACAGGAUUAGAUACCCUGGUAGUCCGCACAGUAAACGAUGGAUGCCCGCUGUUGGUACCUGGUAUCAGCGGCUAAGCGAAAGCAUUAAGCAUCCCACCUGGGGAGUACGCCGGCACGGU
rnacentral:rRNA from 1 species